CCUACGGGAGGCAGCAGUGGGGAAUAUUGGGCAAUGGGCGCAAGCCUGACCCAGCAACGCCGCGUGAAGGAAGAAGGCUUUCGGGUCGUAAACUUCUUUUCUCAGGGACGAAGGAAGUGACGGUUCCUGAGGAAUAAGCCACGGCUAACUCCGUGCCAGCAGCCGCGGUAAUACGUUGGUGGCAAGCGUUAUCCGGAGUUACUGGGUGUAAAGGGCGGGUAGGCGGGAAAGCAAGUCAGAUGUGAAAACCACGGGCUCAACCUGUGGCCUGCAUUUGAAACUGUUGUGCUUGAGUGCUGGAGAGGCAGACGGAAUUCCUAGUGUAGCGGUGAAAUGCGUAGAUAUUAGGAGGAACACCAGUGGCGAAGGCGGUCAGCUGGACAGCAACUGACGCUGAGGCGCGAAAGCGUGGGGAGCAAACAGGAUUAGAUACCCGGGUAGUC
rnacentral:rRNA from 1 species